UACAGAGGUCUCAAGCGUUGUUCGGAUUCAUUGGGCGUAAAGGGUGCGUAGGUGGCGUGGUAAGUCGGGUGUGAAAUUUCGGAGCUUAACUCCGAAACUGCAUUCGAUACUGCCGUGCUUGAGGACUGGAGAGGAGACUGGAAUUUACGGUGUAGCAGUGAAAUGCGUAGAGAUCGUAAGGAAGACCAGUGGCGAAGGCGGGUCUCUGGACAGUUCCUGACACUGAGGCACGAAGGCCAGGGGAGCAAAACGGG
rnacentral:rRNA from 1 species